AACCGCGUAGCUCAGUUGGAAGAGCAUUGGGCUAGUAUUCCAAAGGUCGUAGGUUCGAAUCCCACCGUGGCCG